UUGAGGGCCUUUUGGUAUGUUAAUUUUCAACAUCUUCUGUUCCCCUUUUAAUGAGGUGUGUAUUGCCAGUUCUACUUGUGGAAUUCAGAUGUCUUUUACGACGAUUCACCGUUUAUUUGCUUUUUAAAUUUCUGUCACUUUCUCUGUUAUAUGCUUCAUCUUUCAGGUGAGUUCUUGUUUCCUUUUCAUUUUUCCUUGUAUUUUUUUUUUCAGCUUUCCCACUUAUGCAUAUGUUUUGGUGUUGUUUAAAUCAUAAUUUCAAGAUUUGUUUUUCAUUAUGUUAUUCUUGCAUGUGUUAACUAAGGAUUUCGACAAUUUUGUGAAAGUUACGGUAUCACUCUAAUAAUUGUGGUGAGUUAAUUACUACUCUUUUUCUCCUCUAAUUUUCUUAAUGUUCCAUAAUUCAUCUUUGAAGGGAACUAUUGCAUCACUUAGAAAAGACUGUGAUCCUAACUGUAUGAAUUUUUAAUUAAUUAUAAAUGCAAUGGGCUUUAAUCUUAUAAGUUGAAGCUUUGAUUAAUUUGAAACUUCCUUUAAGGUUCUUCUUAAGUAAUGUAUUCACUUCUGGAUUUCAAAAUUUUGUUUACUUUAUUUUUAGUCUAAAAGAUUGUGUGUUCUCAUGUUCUAGAUCUACAAUUUUAAAUAAUACUUAGCCUGAGCUUUUCUUUUUGCACCUAAUUAUGCAUUUUAACAGAUCAAGAAUUACGAUAUCGAGAGUUAUCUAUUCAGGAAUUUCGUAAAGAACUUGGUAGAGACAUAUCUCUAUCCUUGUUUGGAGGCAUGGUCACUUCAAUUUGAUUAUUCCAAAAUUCAUUUUGAUUAUAGAUAUAAUAAGAAUAUGUUUUAAAAUUUUUGCAAUUACAGAUUUCUUUCGUCAUAUUCCUUCUUUAAGGCUGAGAGGUGAGCGGUGUCUUAACUUAUGCAUAUGAUCUCACACGUAUAAUGGUAUAUAUAUUUUCUGGGAGGUAAGGCUUACUGAUGGUACUUUAUGAUGAUUUUAUCAUGACUUCAUGUUCAAUAAGUGUGUUGAUUAGUAGAGAUCUUUCACCUUAUUUUGCAAUGUGUGAAUUUCUAAUUUGGUUCGUGGGAUGUGAGAGUGAGUGACAAAGACUUGCAUUAAAUAAAAUAUGCCCAUUUCCGACAUGGAUCAUACCAUUAAAUUGAAAAUGAAAAUGGACUGAUUAACCUUCAGUUGAACUUCAAAACACUAUAAAUAGAGAAAAGGAGAAAAUAUUAAUCAUAAAAGAACAAACUAAUACUAUUCGUUGAGUAUGUGGACAAAUGCUUAGUGUGCCAGCUAGUAAAGGCUAAGCACCAGAGACUAGUAGGAUUCUUACAGUCAGUUCAGAUGCCUCGAUGAAAGUGAGAAGAAAUAGCCAUGGACUUUGUCUCAUGAUAGCUAAAGACUGUGAGGCAACAUGAGCGAUUUGUCAUUCCUGACAAAGAACCGCCAACUGAUUAUUCCUGGGCAAAUCAGAAUCAGAUUGAAGUGAAGGUUAGGACUGCAAAGAUGGACUGUUUUGUAUGAUUUUGAUUCUUCCUAAAUGUACAACGCGCUGAUUAAGAGAUAGACGAGAAUCCUCUCAAAUCCUCACCCAUUUUCAGGUCCUGGUGCUCAGUCCAGCAGGGUGAUUAAUUUUAAGCAUCUCCACCUAUAUCCCAACUCUUGGUGAGUCAUCAUAGUUCGAGGGCCCAUUCUACUAGAUGUUGAUGAUAGUGAAGUAUUUUAGUCAUUUGGUUUUCAUUCAAUUUGAGUCAGCUGAGGCUUGUACUAGUGACUCUCUAUUUAGAAGUAGAGUCUUGUCCGACUGAUUUUCGUUUCUAGAUUUCAACAGAGUUUGUUUUCAAGUUUAAGACUUUUAGUAAGAUAUUAAUUCAGUUUCAGUUAAGACAAUUAUUCAGUAUUUCAAGAUUUUAUA